GACGAACCGUGCGACCGUUAUUCGGAAUCACUGGGCUUAAAGCGCGUGUAGGCGGGACGGCACGUCGGUCGCUGAAAUCCCCCGGCUUAACCGGGGAACUGGCGUCGAUACGACCGUCCUGGAGGGGCGUAGGGGGACCUGGAACUUCCGGUGGAGCGGUGAAAUGCGUAGAGAUCGGAAAGAACACCAACGGCGAAAGCACUCUGCUGGGCCGACACUGACACUGAGAGACGAAAGCUAGGGGAGCGAAUGGG
rnacentral:rRNA from 1 species